CCCAAAGAGGGCAAGUCCCUUGAACUCCAGAGUGGGGAAGGACUGCGCCCAGCCAGCCUCACUCCCCUGCGAGUCCCUGGACUCGGUUUACAGCCAACAUGAAGGCUAACAUGGGACCAGGGUCAGGGCUCAGCUUGUGACCAGGACCAGGGCUCAGCUAGUGACCAGGACCAGGGCUCAGAGUGUGAGCAGGGUCAGGGCUCAGAGUGUGACCAGGGUCAGGGCUCAGAGUGUGACCAGGGUCAGGGCUCAGAGUGUGAGCAGGGUCAGGGCUCAGAGUGUGACCAGGGUCAGGGCUCAGAGUGUGAGCAGGGUCAGGGCUCAGUGUGUGACCAGGGUCAGGGCUCAGUGUGUGACCAGGGUCAGGGCUCAGAGUGUGAGUAGGGUCAGGGCUCAGUGUGUGACCAGGGUCAGGGCUCAGAGUGUGAGCAGGAUCAAGGCUCAGAGUGUGACCAAGGUCAGGGUUCAGAGUGUGACUAGGGUCAGGGCUCCGAGUGUGAGCAGGGUCAGGGUUCAGAGUGUGACCAAAGUCAGGGCUCCAGGUGUGACCAAUGUCUAGACUGAGUCCCUGGUCAGGGUUGGACAUCCUCAGCUCUGGCAGGCCUCUGGGACAACACAGUAGGACAGUAGGACAGACCAGGAAACCUUUUUGAGUUAAGCCCCUCUUUCUCUCUGGUGGCCUGGCCUCGACCCUGCUCUGUCUCCACGGGCCCAGCCUCUCCCCCAUUCUCUUUCCUGGGGCCCAGCCUCGCCCCUGCUCUCUCUCCUGUGGCUCCCCGUUUCCCACUCAGGAAAGUGCCGCCAUUUCCAGAACCCCUCCUGGCGAGGUCGCUUGUUGAGGAGGCCGUAUCCAGGGGUGCACGGUCGGGUGCAGCAGGCCAGGGACUUGUCUCCAGUGCCAGGAAGAGGGAGUGACGGUGGUUGUGAGCCGGCACUGUGCCCACAGCACCGUGUAUCUGGAGGGUGGAGCUCAGGCUGGGCGGGCUGUGGUUCUUUGGCAGUGCAGGGGCGGAG
rnacentral:lncRNA from 1 species